GAAUACAGAUGCCUGUCGAGCUUGCUCACGGGCUUUCUAUCAUAUCCAUAACACCUGUGCACUUGUUGGAUGAUCUAAAGACAUAGGGUAAAACCUAAAGUUAAUAGUCAUCCACUUACACUAAACAAUAAUGUAACAAAUGUAGUCUUAUUAUAACAAAAUAAAACUUUCAACAACGGAUCUCUUGGCUCU
rnacentral:misc_RNA from 1 species